GGUGGGGUGGUCGAGCUGGUUUAAGGCGCCGGUCUUGAAAACCGGAGUGCGGGAAACUGUACCGUGGGUUCGAAUCCCACCCCCACCG
rnacentral:tRNA from 1 species